UGGGGAAUUUUGGACGAAUUGGGCGAAAGCCUGAUCCAGCAAUGCCGCGUGUGUGAAGAAGGCCUUCGGGUUGUAAAGCACUUUUGUCCGGAAAGAAAUCCUUGGCUCUAAUACAGUCGGGGGAUGACGGUACCGGAAGAAUAAGCACCGGCUAACUACGUGCCAGCAGCCGCGGUAAUACGUAGGGUGCAAGCGUUAAUCGGAAUUACUGGGCGUAAAGCGUGCGCAGGCGGUUUGCUAAGACCGAUGUGAAAUCCCCGGGCUCAACCUGGGAACUGCAUUGGUGACUGGCAGGCUAGAGUAUGGCAGAGGGGGGUAGAAUUCCCACGUGUAGCAGUGAAAUGCGUAGAGAUGUGGAGGAAUACCGAUGGCG
rnacentral:rRNA from 1 species